UUUGAGGUGGAGGCAGGAAAAUGAGUCUGUAAGGGGGAGGAGCUGAAAGUAUGAAGUGAAUGAAGUUGCAGGCACAGUGCUGAAGGAGAGGCGGGAACAUCCAGGAGGGGAAACGACUCCUUGGGUCGGGGAGCCUGGUCAGCGUCCCAGGGACCAGAACGGAGUCCUCUGAGACCACACUGUGGAGGAAGGAUGGAGAAGUCCCUGGGUGCCUCAUUUCUAAUCCUGUGCCUCCAGCUGGGCUGGGCAAGUGGCGAGGACAAGGUGGAGCAGGCUCCUCCAUCCCUGAACAUCCAGGAGGGGGAGAACAGCACCAUGAACUGCAGCUACAAAAUCAGUGGUUUUAACAGCCUGCAAUGGUACCGGCAGGACCACGGGAAAGGUCCUAUUUCCUUGUUUGUUGUACGUCUGAAUAAGGAGGUUAAAAGUGAAGGAAGAUUCACAGUCCUGCUCAAUACAGAUAUGAAACGCAGCUUCCUGACCAUCACAUUCUCCCAGCCCGGAGACUCAGCCAUCUACUUCUGUGCCGGGGAGACACAGUGAUCCCCAGACACCUGCAGCCUGUGCAGAAACCUGCAGCCUGAGCUUCUGCUCACCUAUUCCCAUAGAAGGACUCUGCCUUGGGGUCCAAAAACUGCCUCCCUGUGUCUCUCUGGCAGGGAAGUUGUGCAGGGAAACAGCAGUCCCCCGAGUGGACUGAUCGUGGUGGUGAUCCUGGACCAAGGAAAGUGUGAUAGAAAAUCUUUGUCUCUGUCUCAGACUAGGGGAUUUGUCCCGAGGCUAUGUGUUC